rnacentral:rRNA from 1 species
UUAAAUGGCCGCAGUAUUUUGACUGUGCUAAGGUAGCAUAAUCAUUAGUUUUUUAAUUGAAAGCUGGAAUGAAGGGUUGGAUGAAAAAAAAACUGUCUCUAAUUAAUUUAUAUAGAAUUUUAUUUUUAAGUUAAAAAGCUUAAAUAAAAUUAAAAGACGAGAAGACCCUAUAGAGUUUAAUAAUUUAAUUAAGUUUUAUUAUUUAGAAUUAAGAUAUAGAAUUUAUUAAAUUAUUUAAUUGGGGUGAUUAAAAAAUUUAAUUAACUUUUUUUAUAUUUUUAUAUUUAUAUAUAGAUAUUUGAUCCAAGUAUUUUGAUUAUAAGAUUAAAUUACCUUAGGGAUAACAGCGUAAUUUUAUUAGAGAGUU